UCACUUAAUCUUAGUAACCUCCACUCCUCAUCGAUUAAUUGUAAGAGAUUAAUGAUGGCAUUUAUUCGCAUCAAUCCGCAGCUUUUUCAUCCUUCCAGCUUCCUUCACUUUUUAACUAUUUUCGUCCACUAUAUAUAUGGAGUUCAAGCAACGGCCCUGUGCAUCAAAUCGUCUCCCUGUCCUUUAUUAUACCUAAGAAUCUGCAAGCUAUACACUCAUGGCGAAUCUGAACUCUUUUUCUGAGUUGAAGGAUGGUCUGUAUAAGGAAACUGUAUCGAUCCGUCUCCUCCUUUUCGGGAAGCAAGGAAGUUCUUAAAAGAAAGGUUGAGAGCUUAUGGGGAUUGAUAUGGUUUUGGUAGAUAAGCAGAGCUCUAUUAGCGUCCACCGCCUGAACAUCUUCCAAAACCUCCUCAAGAGAGGGAGGGAUGUAUGAGCUGAGUGGAUUCGAUGUGACAAGGACUAAUUGAUUCACUCAACAUACCAACAUGGUGGAGAUUACAGAAACCAUUCAUCCCAACAGAGGCUUUCAUGUUCCGCAAUUAUGAUGAGAUGAUGUUACUAGCGAACACAAACACAUACUUAUCAGGCCAGUUUGUGAACUUGAUUAAAUGCAUUGGCUCGACCAAAGGACCGUUUCUCUAGCACAAAAUAUAUAAUGUUAAUUGUCUGUUUACUUUCUAAAUAAAUAGGUAAAAUUAGCUUUAAAAGGUGACUGAACAAGUGAGGCUACUUGCGAAAGAUGAAGACGAGAAUCCCACUGAGCCUAGCGCUUAUGAUGUAAUCCGUCCCUAUGAUCAAGCAAAGGCCCUUGGGAAGUCAAACAUUGACGUUGGCCGGAUUGCUGCUGGAUUACCUUGUGGUAGUGAAGGAUUACUUUUGAUGUGUCCGGUGGCGAAAACUCGAAAAGGAACUCUACAACGAAAGAAAAGAGUACGACCUGUUACAUAAUUCUUAUCUCAACUUGAAAGGACUACACGAACUCUUCAAAGUUGUUCAUGUAUGAACUGAAUACAAAAACUGAAGUCUCUCUUCCAUUUUCUGAAACUUCAAUGUUACUUGCAGAUGGUGUAAUCCCAAAUUAGUAUGGGAUCAAUCCACAACAAAAGCCCCAAAAUCGGUUCAAAGGUGAGAUCCUCAACGUUGCAUUCUAGCUCCCACAAAGUAAUGAAACACGGACUAUUCAGCGUAUUAUGGCCAACAUGCGGUUAGAACGAGGCCCUACUGUUUGCAUAAGUGUGUUCUACGGGAUCGCAACUCUACUUUCCGAGAUAUUGGUGGUGUCCAUGGAAUACUCAUUCUUUUACGGUGGCUUCAACGUAAACACCAAGCAGAGUUGCUAUAGACCUACUUAGAAACAACCUUUUCAGGUGCAUAUAAGUUUACAUUUGGAUUAUAUAUAUAUAUAUAUAUAUAUAUGCGGAUCUGGAUGGCUUUAAGCUUAUGAAAAGAAAAAACAUAAAAGUGGAAUUUUGUUGUAGAAGCCUAAUACAACUUUGGCAUUACGUUGGAGUUUUGUCUGUAAUCAUCUGAAACAGUAGAGGCACACAGCAAACCAACACACACCUCAUAAAGAAUCACCCUUAGCUUGAGCUAUCUUCUAAUAUCUAGCUAGAGUCUAUGUAGGUAUUCCACCAAUAUGUAUAGGUCCAACACAAACGUCUUCCAAAAUGUUUUUAUAGAUCAAAUUCAACUAAUUCUGACAUGUUCUUACUUAACUGGUAUCUAUUCCUCAACAUUACUUUUUCUAAUAAGAAUAUAUUUCUCAACAUUACGAAUUAUCAUCCAUACAAUUAGUAUAAAAGAAUUUCUGACAAAUUGUUCAUAAAUAGAUUAAUGAAACUGAAAUGGUUCAAGAGCAGCUGGCCGGGUGUCAAAGCUUGAUGGUCAACGACUCCCCCUCAAAAGUCACAUAAUUGCAAACAGGA